rnacentral:rRNA from 1 species
UGGGGAAUAUUGGACAAUGGGCGAAAGCCUGAUCCAGCCAUGCCGCGUGUGUGAAGAAGGUCUUCGGAUUGUAAAGCACUUUAAGUUGGGAGGAAGGGCAGUAAGUUAAUACCUUGCUGUUUUGACGUUACCGACAGAAUAAGCACCGGCUAACUCUGUGCCAGCAGCCGCGGUAAUACAGAGGGUGCAAGCGUUAAUCGGAAUUACUGGGCGUAAAGCGCGCGUAGGUGGUUUGUUAAGUUGGAUGUGAAAGCCCCGGGCUCAACCUGGGAACUGCAUUCAAAACUGACAAGCUAGAGUAUGGUAGAGGGUGGUGGAAUUUCCUGUGUAGCGGUGAAAUGCGUAGAUAUAGGAAGGAACACCAGUGGCGAAGGCGACCACCUGGACUGAUACUGACACUGAGGUGCGAAAGCGUGGGGAGCAAACAGGAUUAGAUACCCCCGUAGUCCCUGAGCGGGCUGGCAAGGCGCAU